UUUUGACCUCGGAUCAGGUAGGGAUACCCGCUGAACUUAAGCAUAUCAA
rnacentral:rRNA from 4 species